rnacentral:rRNA from 1 species
UCAAUGCCGCGUGUGUGAAGAAGGCCUGCGGGUUGUAAAGCACUUUCAGUGGGGGAGGAAGGCUUCAGUGGUAAUAUCGCUGAAGAUUGACGUUACCCACAGAAGAAGCACCGGCUAACUCUGUGCCAGCAGCCGCGGUAAUACAGAGGGUGCAAGCGUUAAUCGGAAUUACUGGGCGUAAAGCGUGCGCAGGCGGUUAUACAAGACAGGCGUGAAAUCCCCGGGCUUAACCUGGGAAUGGCGCCUGUGACUGUAUGGCUAGAGUGUGUCAGAGGGGGGUAGAAUUCCACGUGUAGCAGUGAAAUGCGUAGAUAUGUGGAGGAAUACCAAUGGCGAAGGCAGCCCCCUGGGAUAACACUGACGCUCAUGCACGAAAGCGUGGGGAGCAAACAGGAUUAGAUACCCUGGUAGUCCACGCCCUAAACGAUGCUGACUAGUUGUUCGGGAUUUACAUCCUGAGUAACGUAGCUAACGCGUGAAGUCAGCCGCCUGGGGAGUACGGUCGCAAGAUUAAAACUCAAAGGAAUUGACGGGGACCCGCACAAAGCGGUGGAUGAUCGUGGAUUAAUUCGA